AAGCGCGAAGCCAACUUCAAGAUAAGAUUUCCCACCGCAAGGGUAAGACUCCAGAAAGACUAUCUGGUUGAUAGGUCGAAGGUGUAAGUGCAGCAAUGUAUUUAGCUUAUCGAUACUAAUAGGUCGAGGACUUGACCAAUAUUUAUU
rnacentral:rRNA from 1 species